GGAUGAGGAGGUGAUGAAGAGUGGAUGAGGAGGUGAUGAAGAGUGGAUGAGGAGGUGAUGAAGAGUGGAUGAGGGGGUGAUGAAGGAGGAUGAGGAGGUGAUGACGGAGGAUGAGGAGGUGAUGAAGGAGGAUGAGGAGGUGAUGAAGGAGGAUGAGGGGGUCGAGGUCACCCGCGGCUGAAAUGUACACAGGAAGAAAUUGUGAUGAAAGAGGAAACAUAAAACACACCAGUGUAUCAGAUUUCUCUCAUAGUCUCUCCUCUCCUGAUUGAUUUUCUCUCCAUUUUCAUUCCCAUUAUUUGUCCCCUUUUUCUAACAAUUAUCUUUCUUUUUCCCUCCGUCCUUUUCUCUGUUUUUCAACUGCUCUUUUUUCUCUCUCAUUUCAUUUGUCCUCCCUCAUUUUGAUAUCUCUUUCCCCCCUUCUCUAUCAUUCUUCCUCUUUAUAUCUCUCCCGGCUUUCUCCACCUGUCCUUUUUCUCCAUCUCCCUCCUUCACGCCCUCACUCUCUGUCUCUCUCUUUCUGUCUGUAUGUCUCUUCUUCUGUCUUCCUUUCUCUCUGUACGUGUCGCUCUCUCUCUCUCUAUGUCUGUCUCGCUCUAUUACUGUUUCUAUCUUUGUCUCUCUCUCACUUUAUCUGUCUCUCUUCCUGUCUGGCUGCCUCUUGGUCUCAGUCUUUGUCUCUAUUUCUGUCUCUAUUUGUCUCUCUGUCUGUCAGUUUCCUUUUAUUCCCUCCUUCCCUUCUCUUACCAAUUUCCUUGUUAUUUUUCCUCCCCUUUCUUCCUAUUUCUUUCACUUCCCCUCUACACUAUUCUACACUAGAUGGUAGAUUUCAUAGUGCAUAGUGUAAGUGCUUAGCACAGUUUAGCGGUUAGCACGUCUACCUCGCACCUCCAGGGCUGGGGGUUCAAUUCCCACCGCUGCUCUGUGUGUGCGGAGUUUGCAUGUUCUCCCAGUGCUACUGGGUACUCUGGUUUCCUUACCCCAGUCCAAAGACAUGUAGGCUGAUUGGCAUUUCCAAAUUGUCUGUAGAGUUUGUCCAGGGUGUCCACCACCUCAUGACUUGAGUUACUUGGGAUAAACUCCAGGAUCCACCUGAUAA
ensembl:lncRNA